GGAGAGGUGCGUGAGCCCGGUUGAAACGGCACGACUCGAAAUCGUGUGAGCCCUCGUGGCUCCGGGGGUUCGAAUCCCCCCCUCUCCGCUA
rnacentral:tRNA from 1 species